UACGUAGGGCGCAAGCGUUGUCCGGAAUUAUUGGGCGUAAAGAGCUCGUAGGCGGCUUGUCACGUCGGGUGUGAAAGCCCGGGGCUUAACCCCGGGUCUGCAUUCGAUACGGGCUAGCUAGAGUGUGGUAGGGGAGACUGGAAUUCCUGGUGUAGCGGUGAAAUGCGCAGAUAUCAGGAGGAACACCGGUGGCGAAGGCGGGUCUCUGGGCCGAUAUUGACGCUGAGGAGCGAAAGCGUGGGGAGCAGACAGG
rnacentral:rRNA from 1 species